rfam:Coriobacteriaceae bacterium CHKCI002 isolate CHKC2 genome assembly, contig: {contig38}
GAGCGCGACCAUGGAGGCGGGGAUCGCCCGGUCCCAUUCCGAACCCGGAAGCUAAGCCCGCCAUCGCCGAAAGUACUGCGGGGCAGCCCGCGGGAGGACAGGGCGUCGCGCUCG